CAGCCGCCGCGGGGAAUACGAAGGGUGCAAGCGUUACUCGGAAUUACUGGGCGUAAAGCGUGCGUAGGUGGUGGUUUAAGUCCGUUGUGAAAGCCCUGGGCUCAACCUGGGAAUUGCAGUGGAUACUGGGUCACUAGAGUGUGGUAGAGGAUAGUGGAAUUUCCGGUGUAGCAGUGAAAUGCGUAGAGAUCGGAAGGAACAUCUGUGGCGAAGGCGACUAUCUGGGCCAACACUGACACUGUGGCACGAAAGCGUGGGGAGCAAACGGGAUUAGAUACCCCGGUAGUCCCUGUCUCUUAUU
rnacentral:rRNA from 1 species